AGGUUUGGACAUGCUGACCUCCUUGGUCACAGGCUGGAGAGAUGGAGAUCUCCUUCCUGGAGAUGUGGAGGCAGAUGGCCUCUCUUUACGGAAGAUUCAUGUGGGCUGUGAGGAAGAACUUCCUUUCUGGUCACUCAUCGAAUGCUGCUGAGAAUGCAGAGGCGGCUGGGCGGCUCCCUGCAAGUGAAGGCAUGAGAGAGGCCAUUUCUCCCUGCUCCAGAGCCUGGGAGAGGCGAUGGUGCCACCAGGACACACCUCAGGAGGCCACAGUCAGCACAGGAGCGCUACUACAGGGCCCACGGUUGAAAUGCCUUCGACAUCCAAGUAGGUAACUGAAUAAAUGAGUUGGAAGCUCGGCUGAGAAGUGAGGACCCAAGAUACACAUGUAAGAUUCUCAGCAUCUGGACAUAGCACAUGGACUCCAAAAGGUGCCCCACUCUGAGCGCUUCUGUGGAUAGGAG
rnacentral:lncRNA from 1 species